rnacentral:lncRNA from 1 species
GCGCCCCCUGCCGUCCCAUCGCGGCGGCGCAAUCCGGCCUCAGUUGCCGGCUGCCCGGAGGGGCCGCGUCCGGGGAUUCAGCGGGUCACCGGGGUCAGCUCCCUGCCCGGACCGACCCGGUUCUUAGGCCUCUGCUUGGCAUGAAAGCGGUUGGGGCGGCAGGACGUGUCUGGACUGGAGGGUGCGCUUGGGUCUCGCUAGGCCUUUGCCAGCGACUUGCCGCAUGACCUUGCUCGGAUCCCCUCCCCCCACUUCCUGGGCCUCAGUUUUCUCAUCUCCCUCACAGGACGGCCAGGAGGACCAAACCCGGGAAUGGCGGGAAGGACACCAGGAGCACUCUGUGGACUCAAUCCUCCCCAGGCCCAAGAGAGCUGAGGCACGUUCUUCUCUGGCCCCCCAUGGCAGCUACAGCUUGAAGGGACUCAAGAUAAUCUGCAACCAACUUCCUCACUAGGGGUCUCUUUUGUUCACUGAACACCCCUUUCUCAAGCAAGGCUGGGUCCCUCAGCAAGCUCUGGUCACGAGCACCAGGAGAGACCAAGAAGUUGCAAACUUACAAUAAUGCCUACACAUCAAGCCUGUUGGAGACACCUUCACGGAAGAAAGUGCUUCCUACAGUCUAGGCUCAAUUCCCCACUCCUCUCCUGCUCCACCACGGCCCAGGGCUUCCCCCCAGCCUGGCACUUCAUGCCUAGGCCACUCUGAACUCCUAUAGUGCUAAGUGAACAAAAUCCUGCUUGCCCUUACCUUGAGGCCUUUGCAAAUGCUCUUCCAUCUUCCUAGUGCUGUCCCUCAACUCAGCCUGAAGUGGCUCUUCCUUAUAAGGCCAGCCCCAAUGGCCCCUCCUCCUAAAUACCUUCCUGCGACAUUAACACAGGUAGGAAAGACUCGGAGCUUCCAUCCACGUGGUCACUGGCUCUGUCCAUCUGCCCCCAGGGGUGUCAUGUUUGGUAGGGCCAGUGAACGGCUGCUGAAUGAAUGAAUGAUGAGUCCUGAUCUCCCUCCUCUGUUCCCUCUCCCUGGAUGACUUCACUCACUCACCUAUGGGAGAGUCAGAGGCUGACAGUGCCUCUGCCUCCAAUUCCCCCUCUUGUCCUCUGAGACCCUCCCUUUCACACGUACAGCCCACUCUCAUAAAACCAAGAGACUCACAGCCCUUCUGCAUUGGUAGGAAGUUCUUCCUGCUGUCUGUCCUCACUCCCUUAUUUGACCAUGCCUGCUUCUUUAUCAUUAUUUUUGGAGAGGAGUCAGGGCCUGCACCCAUCUCAGAUUUUUGUUAAUAAAGGCUGCGCAUUUCUCCCACUCUCUGCCUAGAUGUGUUCUUGCCACUCCUGGAUCAUUGUGCCCCAGCCUGGCCCUACUUCAGGGGACAGUGACACAGGACGGAGAAAGGACAUAAGGCCAGGCUGGGUAGCCUGGAGUUGCUGGGCCCUGCGGAGAAGACCCAGGACAGAUAUAACCACCACAAGGGAAG